GACGAACCGAGCGAACGUUGUUCGGAAUCACUGGGCUUAAAGGGCGCGUAGGCGGGUGCUCAAGUCCGGGGUGAAAUCCUCCGGCUCAACCGGAGAACUGCCUCGGAUACUGGGUGCCUCGAGGGUGGUAGGGGUAUGCGGAACUAUCGGUGGAGCGGUGAAAUGCGUUGAUAUCGAUAGGAACUCCGGUGGCGAAGGCGGCAUACUGGACCACCUCUGACGCUGAGGCGCGAAAGCCAGGGGAGCAAACGGG
rnacentral:rRNA from 1 species